GUUGACAGAGUAGGAAUUUUUUCAAGGUUCGCAGUGUGGUCGGAAGGAUUGAUUUACAGCUAAAGAAAUGGCGUCUUCUAAAAUAACGUUAGUACAGGCUUUGAUUUGUGCGCUUUGUUGCCUACUUCUGUCACAUCUGACAAGUUCACAGGAUGAUGGCAAUGGUACAGUUACAUCGACCAAAAUACAAUCGACUUCCACAACAAAAACGACAACUGUGACCCCUAUGCCGACAAAGUCGACUACAUCCGGUGCUGGAAUGGCCUCAAUCUCAGCAACUCUUUUAAUCGGCGCAUCAUUGGUUGCAAUGAAGAAGCUACAUUAAUUUCCAAAAGCAGACGACAAAAUAUGAGCAGACGACACAAAGCAUAUAUUAGCAGACGACACCGAAUCUGCAGACAUUCAAGAAGAUAAUGAUACUCCGAUUUCAAUUUUAAAAGCAGUCAAUAAUACCAAUAUUUCUUAAAGUUUGGAUUAAGCAGUUUUAUUUUAUAUUUGAAAUAACAAACAAAUGAAGUUCGUCUGAAAAUAUACCUUAUCUCUUAUGAAGUUCAAUCAUAUAAAUUAUUAUAGUUUUCAUCACAUUAUAGUAUGAUAUUGUAUGGUCAUGUGUUUCAUGUUGGAAUAUCUCUAUAUUUAGUAACAUGCAUAUAAUUUUCUGAUUCAAUAAAACUUCAUACAAACAA